rnacentral:pre_miRNA from 1 species
GAUAUCAACUGAAAAAGUCAUCAAUAACAAAGUUGAAUAACUCAUCAAGAUCUAAAACUUUUAUUUUGGUCAUUUCUUCAUACGACAAAGUGAUAGUAACAUUGUUCACAAAAUUGACAUAUCUCUUAUCUGGUUUUAUAAAACUAUAACACAUAUAUGUAAAAUUUGUGAAUAAUAUUACUAACAUUUCGUCGGAUGAAGAAAUAACAAAAAUAAAAGUUUUAGAUCUUGAUGAGUUAUUCAACUUUGUUGUUGAUGACUUUUUCAAUUGAAAUC